rnacentral:tRNA from 1 species
GCAUUGGUGGGUCAGGGAUAAUUCUCUCGCCUGCCACGCGGGAGGCCCGGGUUCGAUUCCCGGCCAAUGCA